rnacentral:rRNA from 1 species
UACGGGGGGAGCAAGCGUUGUUCGGAUUUACUGGGCGUAAAGGGCGCGUAGGCGGCCACCGCAAGUCAGUUGUGAAAUCUCUGGGCUUAACCCAGAAAGGUCAACUGAUACUGCGGGGCUAGAGUGCAGAAGGGGCAACCGGAAUUCUCGGUGUAGCGGUGAAAUGCGUAGAUAUCGAGAGGAACACCUGCGGCGAAGGCGGGUUGCUGGGCUGACACUGACGCUGAAGCGCGAAAGCUAGGGGAGCGAACGGG